rnacentral:misc_RNA from 1 species
GGUAAUGUUAUUAGGCAGAUAUUGGGUCUUGUUCAAAGCAAAGGCAGGAUGGUUGCUACUGCUGAUGAUCUCUCAAAGGAGCUGACCUUUCUUUUCAACAUUAAAAAGGAAACAAUUCUACCCACACCAAUGGUUAAUGCAAGAGUGACAAAUGACACGAACACAGAACCGCAUUAAAGUUUUGUACUAGUAUAACAUUGGCAGAUUGAGUCGCCAUAACAUGUUGAGUUCAAAAUAAGUAAAAAAAAAAAAAAUACAGUUACGUUACAUGAGAGGAAAAAUAACCACCACAUAAAAUUUCUAUGUACUGCAUGUGAGUUUCAAUUCUUUAUGAAGAUCUUGACAAUAGGGUUUGUUGUGCAUUAAUCAAUGGCAAUGAUGAGGA